AUUGAACGCUGGCGGCAUGCCUUACACAUGCAAGUCGAACGGCAGCGGGGGAGAAGCUUGCUUUUCCUGCCGGCGAGUGGCGAACGGGUGAGUAAUACAUCGGAACGUGCCCCGUAGUGGGGGAUAACUAGUCGAAAGAUUAGCUAAUACCGCAUACGACCUGAGGGUGAAAGUGGGGGACCGCAAGGCCUCAUGCUAUAGUAGCGGCCGAUGUCUGAUUAGCUAGUUGGUGGGGUAAAGGCCUACCAAGGCGACGAUCAGUAGCUGGUCUGAGAGGACGAUCAGCCACACUGGGACUGAGACACGGCCCAGACUCCUACGGGAGGCAGCAGUGGGGAAUUUUGGACAAUGGGCGAAAGCCUGAUCCAGCAAUGCCGCGUGUGAAGAAGGCCUUCGGGUUGUAAAGCACUUUUGUCCGGAAAGAAAUGGCUCUGGUUAAUACCUGGGGUCGAUGACGGUACCGGAAGAAUAAGGACCGGCUAACUACGUGCCAGCCGCCGCCGUAA
rnacentral:rRNA from 1 species